rnacentral:rRNA from 1 species
ACUACGGUGCUGAAGUAACAAAUGCCCUGCUUCCAGGAAAAGCCUCUAAGCAUCAGGUAACAUCAAAUCGUACCCCAAACCGACACAGGUGGUCAGGUAGAGAAUACCAAGGCGCUUGAGAGAACUCGGGUGAAGGAACUAGGCAAAAUGGUGCCGUAACUUCGGGAGAAGGCACGCUGGUGUGUAGGUGAAGUCCCUGCGGAUGGAGCUGAGACCAGUCGAAGAUACCAGCUGGCUGCAACUGUUUAUUAAAAACACAGCACUGUGCAAACACGAAAGUGGACGUAUACGGUGUGACGCCUGCCCGGUGCCGGAAGGUUAAUUGAUGGGGUUAUCCGUAAGGAGAAGCUCUUGAUCGAAGCCCCGGUAAACGGCGGCCGUAACUAUAACGGUCCUAAGGUAGCGAAAUUCCUUGUCGGGUAAGUUCCGACCUGCACGAAUGGCGUAAUGAUGGCCAGGCUGUCUCCACCCGAGACUCAGUGAAAUUGAACUCGCUGUGAAGAUGCAGUGUACCCGCGGCAAGACGGAAAGACCCCGUGAACCUUUACUAUAGCUUGACACUGAACAUUGAGCCUUGAUGUGUAGGAUAGGUGGGAGGCUUUGAAGCGUGGACGCCAGUCUGCGUGGAGCCAACCUUGAAAUACCACCCUUUAAUGUUUGAUGUUCUAACGUUGGCCCCUUAUCGGGGUUGCGGACAGUGUCUGGUGGGUAGUUUGACUGGGGCGGUCUCCUCCCAAAGCGUAACGGAGGAGCACGAAGGUUAGCUAAUCCUGGUCGGACAUCAGGAGGUUAGUGCAAUGGCAUAAGCUAGCUUGACUGCGAGCGUGACGGCGCGAGCAGGUGCGAAAGCAGGUCAUAGUGAUCCGGUGGUUCUGAAUGGAAGGGCCAUCGCUCAACGGAUAAAAGGUACUCCGGGGAUAACAGGCUGAUACCGCCCAAGAGUUCAUAUCGACGGCGGUGUUUGGCACCUCGAUGUCGGCUCAUCACAUCCUGGGGCUGAAGUAGGUCCCAAGGGUAUGGCUGUUCGCCAUUUAAAGUGGUACGCGAGCUGGGUUUAGAACGUCGUGAGACAGUUCGGUCCCUAUCUGCCGUGGGCGCUGGAGAAUUGAGGGGGGCUGCUCCUAGUACGAGAGGACCGGAGUGGACGCAUCACUGGUGUUCGGGUUGUCAUGCCAAUGGCACUGCCCGGUAGCUAAAUGCGGAAGAGAUAAGUGCUGAAAGCAUCUAAGCACGAAACUUGCCCCGAGAUGAGUUCUCCCUGAGACUUUAAGUCUCCUGAAGGAACGUUGAAGACGACGACGUUGAUAGGCCGGGUGUGUAAGCGCAGCGAUGCGUUGAGCUAACCGGUACUAAUGAACCGUGAGGCUUAACC